rnacentral:rRNA from 1 species
ACGAACGCUGGCGGCGUGCUUAACACAUGCAAGUCGAACGGAAAGGCCCUGCUUGCAGGGUACUCGAGUGGCGAACGGGUGAGUAACACGUGGGUGAUCUGCCCUGCACUUCGGGAUAAGCCUGGGAAACUGGGUCUAAUACCGGAUAGGAGCCAUUUUUAGUGUGAUGGUUGGAAAGUUUUUUCGGUGUAGGAUGAGCUCGCGGCCUAUCAGCUUGUUGGUGGGGUAAUGGCCUACCAAGGCGGCGACGGGUAGCCGGCCUGAGAGGGUGGACGGCCACAUUGGGACUGAGAUACGGCCCAGACUCCUACGGGAGGCAGCAGUGGGGAAUAUUGCACAAUGGGCGCAAGCCUGAUGCAGCGACGCCGCGGGGGGGAUGACGGCCUUCGGGUUGUAAACUCCUUUCGCUAGGGACGAAGCUUUUUGUGACGGUACCUAGAGAAGGAGCACCGGCUAACUACGUG